rnacentral:rRNA from 1 species
GAUGAACGCUGGCGGCGUGCCUAAUACAUGCAAGUCGAGCGAACAGACGAGGAGCUUGCUCCUCUGACGUUAGCGGCGGACGGGUGAGUAACACGUGGAUAACCUACCUAUAAGACUGGGAUAACUUCGGGAAACCGGAGCUAAUACCGGAUAAUAUAUUGAACCGCAUGGUUCAAUAGUGAAAGACGGUUUUGCUGUCACUUAUAGAUGGGUCCGCGCCGCAUUAGCUAGUUGGUAAGGUAACGGCUUACCAAGGCGACGAUGCGUAGCCGACCUGAGAGGGUGAUCGGCCACACUGGAACUGAGACACGGUCCAGACUCCUACGGGAGGCAGCAGUAGGGAAUCUUCCGCAAUGGGCGAAAGCCUGACGGAGCAACGCCGCGUGAGUGAUGAAGGUCUUCGGAUCGUAAAACUCUGUUAUUAGGGAAGAACAAAUGUGUAAGUAACUAUGCACGUCUUGACGGUACCUAAUCAGAAAGCCACGGCUAACUACGUG